UCUUCUAAGAAGUCCAAUUGUUAGUUAAUUCAAGACAAUUUUAGCUCAAUUUUGGACAAGAAAAUGGCACAAUUUCGGACUAGCCCUUGAGCCCAAAUCCCCAUUGCCCCAAAAUUAACCCUUAGCCCAACACCCCUACCCUUUAAUUAAACCCUAGAGCUAAGACUAGGGAUCAGCCGCAAAAAGAGAACCCCCCAGCGUAUCUCCUUCAUCUUCUUCAUGAAGAUUGAACCUACACCCUAGCUGAAUCUCUUCAGCCGUGAACACUACUAAGACCUCCCAAAGGCGAUCUUGCAAGAUAAGUGAGAAAAGAAGUUGAAGAAAAUCUAAGAACUUUAGGUCUUCUUUCUCCCCUUCUGGAAUUCCAAGACAAAUUACGCAAACAGAAAAGAUUUUAAUUCUUGUUCUAGUUUUCUUCCUCAAAAUACAAGAAGUAGUAAAAAGAUUAUUCCCAUUUUGCUUCAGUUUUCUUAUUCGGAUCCAAAAGAAAAACCAUCAGAAUAUGUUGGUUCCUUACUGCCUUUGAUUUCGAAAAAAGAAGCUAAGAAUCAUUCAAAUAGAGUUGAGUUGAAAUAUUUUGGGUCUGUUCGGGUUUUCUAAUUUGAGCUCAGAUUUGUUCGCGACUCCAUCGAGGUGCGUCCAAGGUUUCUGAUCAUAAACAUUAUAUUCAAAGAGCUUUCACUCCUGAGGUCCAUUCUUAUCCACACUCUUUUAAUUUUAGUGUUCUUACAUGUUUGUCCACGGCUUAGCUGAAAUAAAUUGAUUUUGCCUAGCAUAUCUUGUUCUACGUCUCUCAUUUUUUUUCUUCUAAUUUAUUAUCUCAUUAGAUGAUAUGAUUAUGAAAUUAUAUGUGGUGAAUGCAAUAUUUAUCGUUGAGUAUUGGCUCUGUUUGUAAUCAAGUUCUUGUUUGUGGUUGAUAACAAGUUACAACUUGACAAAACUUAAUGAUAUAUAACUUAAAAGUUGUCCCUCUCUUUGGUGUCGGUUAGGUGAAGUCGUUCUUUUAACGAGUCUGCUGUAAUUUAUAAUAAUGUUUGAGUACUACAAUUUUGUUCUAACCUAAAAGUAUUAAUUUAAUCAAUAUAAUGUUCGUGUAAAGCUAAUAGUCAUAUUUUUACCAUGAAGAGCUGAUUUUAUUUACCUUCUUCAUCAUUAAUUAAAGAUUCAAAAAAAUGAAUUCUCAUUCAUGUAGAAGUCAGUUUUGAAUUGAAUAUAAAGAUAAGAUGGCCAGUACCAUAUAUUAAUUCACCUUUUUAAUUCUGUUAUUGUUGUUCCCAUUUCUUAUGCUUGGAUGUCUGUAUGUUGAGGUGUCUCAUUUUGUCAUGUUUGGUAUAUGAAGUAUUUUAUUUUUUGGGAUGGAAUUAGACCGUGGGAAAAGGGAAAAGACUUAGCCCGUUAGUGUUUACUUUAUUCACAUGCUUUAGGAUUGAGCUCGGUCUGAAUAUAUGAAAAAUGAAAAAUGAAAAGUUAAAAAAGGAGAAUGAGCAUGAAAUGAAUCUUAUUUACUUUAGUUUAUUUAUUUUUACUCUUCUUAUUUAAUUGUUAGAAUGUAUGUCUAGGCCGACCACACUUAGGUAGGCAAGCCUUAGGAUUUUUGUUAGUUUCGAGGCGAGAGGUCGUUCCCUUAGUUAAAUUUAUCUAGGGAAUGCCCCGAAGGAUUUGUAUAUAUUUUAUUCCGGGGUAUGCCCCGAAGUAUUUGUAUUCGAAGGUCGAUAGUAGAACUCGUAGUAUUUUUAUUUUUCUUUUAUUAGGUGGGGACGACCUCGAGCCUCACAUGUGUUUAUUUUGCUUUUAUGUGUUUAUUUUUACCUCAAUUCGAAUAUUCUUAAACCAACUAGAUCGAGUACGCAACCGUACUAGUUACGGGACUCGGGGAAUGCCUAAUACCUUCUCCCUGAGUCAAAUGAACCACUUACCCGAAUCUCUGGUGCAGACUUAGUUUUGAAGUCCAUGUGUUUUGAAAGGAGAAAUUGCUUUUGAACGGUGACCUGGCACACCGAAACCCAAUGCUAGGUGGCGACUCUGAGUUAAUCCUUUUGAACACAAAUUUUUGUCACUUUCUAAUUGAAAACCCUUUUGAGCUUUACUAAAUCAUUUUAUUUAUUUAAAAGAGUUAGUGAAGUUGUAAAAAAAAUGGUGUGACACUUAGGUAUGUCCGGCGUACGGAACUUCUUAGGAAUGGGUUUCAGAGCCGCACUUUGAGGAAAAGGCUUCCGCAUGAACUUGUUCGAAUUCAAACCCUUUAGGAUCGGGGGUGCACCCGGUAUCUGAUCAACUUGAGAGUUGUAUUUUUCCACUUUUUUAUCAUUAGCUUCAAUUUUCUUCUCUCCUGACUCAAUUCUUUUGGUGAGCUCCUCGAGCAGUUUCAUUAUUGCAGGAUCAUUCCCCGAUUCAUUAUCAUUCGACCUUUUUGGCACUGGCUCGGUACGGCGAGUGAUUUCUGGCUCGACCCCACUUGGGGUCUCAUGUUGAUUUUGCAACUGAGCAAUAACGGCCUGUUGAGCCUGUAGCAUUCCGAAUAUCACCUGGAGACUAACUCCUCUGUCUCAUCUGCCCUGUAUACCUUGACCACCAUAUCGGCCUUCCCUACGCACACUUCCUUCGGGGUCCGUGCCUAGGUCUGCAUUUAGAGCAAUGUACAAACUGACAUCGAUCAGCAACCGGUGCUUGCUCAAGAUUAGCCGGUGGUACCCCACCCCCUGGAGCAAUUACAUUGUCGUUUUCCCGUGAAACCUGUGACCAUCAUCACCAUAUGUGAGUGCGUUUUGUGAGUUUGACAUAUUUUAACCUGAGAGCAAAAACACUUGACAAGAACAAGCGUGAAAUAAUGUGUGUUAUCAGAAUCAGCAUCGAACAAUCAUUAUUAUCCUUAGUCCCACGGUGUGCGCCAAACUGUUUACCGUAAAAUUCGAGUAACAAUUAAACUUAUAUUAUGGUUUUAAGGAUAUGUGAUUCAAUCCAAUACCAAUUGAUAAACGAGGAAUUAAAUAGAUAAAUCCGAGAAUAAAAUAAAUUAAACCAAUAUGCAAGCCAAUUUCCGACCUCAACUUGUGGUAGUCUCGAGGUGUGAUAAUAGGAAUAACAGCUGAUAAAGCAACUCUGAUGAACAGUAAGCGAAAUAGCAAGAAAGUAAUGAAUGUAUAUAUUCUUUUCAGUGAACAAUGAUGUUUACAAAUGAAUGAGAUCCCUCUUUAUAUAAUAGGGGAGUCCUAAAUAAGGUACACUUCUAAUUAUAGUAGGAAAUCAUACAUGACAACUGAUUAACCACCGAAGAUCAAUCCGUUCCGAGAUUCGUGCCACGAUUCUCGAUCAACUGCAGAUAUCUCGCAUGUUCCGUUAUCGAGCUGCCGAUAUCACUUGAAGUGUGCCUCUCUCCGGUCCGUAAUCGAGGUCAACCUCGGCAUCGUGGCUCUUCGACGUGACCUUCCUAUCUUGACCAAAGAAUGAAAUUGGGUAGCCCCGAUUUCUACCGUAUACAAUACUUUCAGUAAAUUUACUAUUUGUAUCUAAUAUUUGCAUUUUAUAGCAAAUCCAUGAAAUAAAAGAUUAAUUAUUAUAAUUUGAACCGGUUAGAACGCCUAUUUAGUUAGAGAAGAUCUUGAGUUAGACUCUCAAUAGGAGCAAUUAUUUCUCUGUAUAUAUGUAUUUCACCUUAAUAUUCUGAACUACAACUAUAGUGCUUUAUACUUUUUGAAGGCGGAAAUAUGUAUAGACCCGCUGCAGACGGAAGGGAGAGAGACUUGGUGCGCUUAUCACGCCUCAACCAUGGCAAUGUGCUCUUUAAAGGGAUUGUCCACCUUCUUUUUGAAUUGGCAAUCAUCCCAAUGAAUUUUUAAACAUUAUCUUCACUCUUCACCGCUCAAGAAAAAAAUAAUGAAUUCAGCGAAGGUUACAAAAUACUAUGCCAAAUUACAACAGAGAGACGAAAUGUGAGCUAAAGGAAAAAAAGAAAAAGAUAUCAUUUUGCUUUUGGAACAUUAUAUAUUUUCGUUCUUCUGCUUCCAUUUCUUGCCAAAGGAAAAUUGAGGAUGAAAAGAGUGCAAAUAGUCUGAUCAGAUUCAGAGUUCAAUUCCUUUG
rnacentral:lncRNA from 1 species